rnacentral:rRNA from 1 species
UACGAAGGGGGCUAGCGUUGCUCGGAAUCACUGGGCGUAAAGCGCACGUAGGCGGCUUUCUAAGUCAGGGGUGAAAUCCUGGAGCUCAACUCCAGAACUGCCUUUGAUACUGGAGAGCUUGAGUCCGGAAGAGGUGAGUGGAACUCCGAGUGUAGAGGUGAAAUUCGUAGAUAUUCGGAAGAACACCGGUGGCGAAGGCGGCUCACUGGUCCGGUACUGACGCUGAGGUGCGAAAGCGUGGGGAGCAAACAGG